rnacentral:lncRNA from 1 species
UUUAGCUUCCUCAGCAGAAAGAAAAGAAGCUGUUUUGGAGGUUGGGAAGAGCUUUAGAAAAUGCGGCAUCAAGUCUGUUGCCCCUUUAAAGAAAGCAGCUCUGGAAAAGGCCUAGGACAUUAGUUGCUACAAAGUUCUAGAUCAUUCUGUGUGGUAAAGAAGUGCCUUUCACCUCCCACUGUGACUCUGAGGCCUCCCCAGCCAUGUGGAACUAUAAGGUCUGUGUUGGUAAAUUAGACACCGUGUGGCCUUUCAACAUCCAGGAGCAAGAUGGCAGGAGGAUCAUGCCAACAACUGAGGUACCUUGCAGGAAAUCAAACAGGAAGAAAUCACCCAAUGGGAUCAGCUGGGCAAACAUGGGUCACUCCAGGUCUGGUCCCUCAAAUCUACUCAACCAAACCAUAUCAUAGUGGAUAACUAUUAUCUUUACCUGACUAGCAUUCAUUGCCCCUUCUGGUAUGCCCUAUUCCCCACUCUCAAUCCCUCUGUUUUAAGAAUGCCCCCACCUCCACCUUCCAUCUCCAGGAGUGAUAUCCACCCAGGUUUGCUCAGUAAGACUAUGAGACCUAUCUUCCUGGCUGUGGUGUUGGUUCAGAAGCAACAUGCCAACCAACCUGAUCCAAUGAGAGUGAGUUCUAGGACUUUUGCUGGAACUACUGUAUGUCUAUAUAUAAAAGAGAAUCUAUCUUUCUAUUGAAAGCCAAGGGUAAGAAGCCAAUAUGAUAUGCAUUUGAUUCUGUUAUGGAAAUCCACAUAAAAGAAGGCUGCCCAAGUAUAAAACCAACACAGAAGAAAGCAGAGGUAAGAGAUGGAAAAAGAAAUGGAGUGAACCAGUGACAGCAAGAGACUGAAGAACAUCAUUUGAUUGCCUGGAAUCAGCUAAGCCUGAAGAGAAGCCUAACCCUAAGCUUUUCAGUUACCCAAGCCAUCAAAUUCCCAUCCCCAUUUUUUUGGUUCUUAAGCAGCUUGAACCAUAGUUGUCUCACUUGCAUGCAAGAGAUCCCUGAAGAUACAUGCACUUCCUCAGGUGAAGAUUGCCAUCAGUUAACAGAUCCUGGCACCCAUGGACCCUGGGACAGUCAUUCUGGUAGCAUCCUCUGGUAGAGAAUAACAUAGUCAAAUCUGACAGUCAGAGAGGAUCUGCCAGCCUCUGCUUAGAUAUAGCCCACUGAAAGGGAGAGAUGAUUAAUUUAGCCUUGAUUUCAAAACCUUGUCUUGUAUAUUCCAUUCAGCACUUUUUAUCUUCCUGUAUUCCCC